rnacentral:tRNA from 1 species
GGGGGUGUAGCUCAGCUGGGUAGAGUACUUGAAUGGCAUUCAAGGGGUCACGGGUUCGACUCCCGUUACCUCCACUA